CUUAUAUGGAAUGAGGGGGUGGUGGUGUUAUGACCUUAUAUGGUAUGAGGGCAGCGAACGACCUUAUAUGGAAUGAGGGGGGGUGUUAUGACCUUAUAUGGAAUGAGGGAGGUCGUGUUAUGACCAUAUAUGGGCAUAAAGAGAGGGUCAUGGCCUCAUAUGGAACGAGGGGACCCCCGCGCCUUCUAUGUGAUCAGCAGCUGGGAGCAGGGAGCGCAGAUCUAUGAGUUGGGGGCCGCCUCCAUCGCUGAGCGCAAAGCGUGGUGCCAUGCUCUGAGCCACGCUGCGGGAGCGCUGCGACCCCCCCUGGGCACACAGAGCCGCCCCAGAGCCGCGGGGGGGGGGCGGAGA
rnacentral:lncRNA from 1 species